GACGAACGCUGGCGGCGUGCUUAACACAUGCAAGUCGAACGGAAAGGCCCUGCUUUUGUGGGGUGCUCGAGUGGCGAACGGGUGAGUAACACGUGAGUAACCUGCCCUUGACUUUGGGAUAACUUCAGGAAACUGGGGCUAAUACCGGAUAGGAGCUCCUGCUGCAUGGUGGGGGUUGGAAAGUUUCGGCGGUUGGAUGGACUCGCGGCUUAUCAGCUUGUUGGUGGGGUAGUGGCUUACCAAGGCUUUGACGGGUAGCCGGCCUGAGAGGGUGACCGGCCACAUUGGGACUGAGAUACGGCCCAGACUCCUACGGGAGGCAGCAGUGGGGAAUAUUGCACAAUGGGCGGAAGCCUGAUGCAGCAACGCCGCGUGCGGGAUGACGGCCUUCGGGUUGUAAACCGCUUUCGCCUGUGACGAAGCGUGAGUGACGGUAAUGGGUAAAGAAGCGCCGGCUAACUACGUG
rnacentral:rRNA from 1 species